ACAGGUGUUGAGUAUGGAAGAGUCACUUCAAAACUCGGAUUCCAUGGAUAUGUGAUCAGUAGUUAAAGGGUUAAAGCCACAUUCGAAAGAAAGGUGACCCUCCUUCUCCUUGCUAAUGUAAUUGGCCAGAGUCCAAGCCAUUGGCCAAGCCAUACAUGAGUGGGGCCACCUGAUUUGAAAAAGGGACCUUAUACACGAACAAAUUGGAUGACCUAGAAGAAAUGUACAAAGACCUAAAAACACACAACCUAUGCAAAUGGAAUCAAGAAGAAAUAGAAAGCCGGAACAAACCAGUAACAAAUAAGGUGACUGAAUCAGUAAUCAGAAACUUCUCGACAAAGAAAAGCCCGGUGCUAUAUGGAUUCCCAGUCCCUGGAAACCACCAUUCAACUUUCUUGUCUCCAUGAAUUUGCUACUCUAGAUACCUCAUCUGUCAUGAAUAUAUGCUGAUCAGAAUUACGCAGAAUCUUCUGUCAUGGUUCCAGAAACGUGGGGAAAAACAAAAGACGACACAGAGAUAAAAUUACAGGUUACCAAGAAUUAUUUUUGGAAUUUUUCCAAAGCCAAGACAGACAAUGCAGCCCGAAGAUGGGAACAGCCAACUCGUGAUAACAUUUCUCUUCGGUGGAUCAGGAAAGAGUCACAGAAGGGAGAAACCCACCCCUACUUGGCUUAAGAAGAAAAGAGAAUUGAUUAGCUUGUGGAAUUGCAAACUUCGUGGGUGGCUCUGUCACCACGGGAUACAGGGGCUCCAAUGACGAGUUCAGGAGUGUGACUUCCUUCUCAAAGCAGAAGGCUGCCGGGAUGGCCGUGAGAAUCUCCCGGCUUCCGUUCUGCCUUUUCGCAGAAGAAGAACACCUGAGUCCCCAGAGCCUUGGUAAGAGUUCCUGGACUGACUCUCCCUGGGACCGCCCUGGGUCAUGUUCCCUCCAGGAACCAAUCACUGCAGCUUGGAAGGAGUGCAAAUGUACUCGGACGGGCCAGGUCCAAAGUGAGUCACACACGGCAGAGGCCCGGUACACCUAGACGCCUUGAGAGCAGGGGCCUUGUCUUCUCGUUCUCUCAUGUAUCUUCAUUUUCCUCGCGUAGCGCUGAGCACAUACAAGGCAGCUCAUGCUUGGUAAACGCAUCAGCGUAACAAAUGAACAGAGUCUGGGUUGUCGUGAAAACCAUCCAUUAUUACCCUGCGCCAUGAUACACGGUGUCCCCGGGGGCUGCAGAUGCGGUCUAACACCGGCUGCCUACCGUGUGCGGGGUGCGGGCUAUGUUACUGUAUGGAAAG